UACAGAGGUCUCAAGCGUUGUUCGGAUUCAUUGGGCGUAAAGGGCGCGUAGGCGGGCUCGCAAGUCAGGGGUGAAAGCCUCCAGCUCAACUGGAGAAGUGCCUUUGAUACUGCGAGUCUCGAGGGAGGUAGGGGCGUGCGGAACUUCCGGUGGAGCGGUGAAAUGCGUAGAUAUCAUUUGGAACGCCAAUGGUGAAAACAGGUAGCUGGGAGUGUGCUGACGCUGAGACACGAAAGCCAGGGGAGCAAACGGG
rnacentral:rRNA from 1 species